rfam:Nippostrongylus brasiliensis genome assembly, scaffold: NBR_contig0000124
ACAUCGCUAGCACAGUGGUUAGUGCAAACUGCCGAAAGCAGAAAGACGCGGGUUAAAUUCCCGUCCGAUGUC